GCUGUGGAAGCUUUGCUCUUCACAAUAAACCUUGCUAGUGCUCAGUUUGGUUCUGUGCCAUCUUUAAGAGCUGUAACAGUCACAGCGAAGGUCUGUGGCUUUAUUCUUGAAGUCAGCGAGACCAUGAACCCACCAGUAGGAACCAACUCCGGACACAGUAUGGCAAUGAUCUCUGGUGAGAACAGCUGCCCAGUAGAAUGUAAGACUUGGCAGAGGUUGUGAUGGACCUGCAUCAUGGCAGGUGUCCUCUUCUAUGGGUCGUCCACUCAACUGUUUGAUCUGCAGGGCCGUAAGGUUAUUCUGGAUCCUGUCUUGUUAUUGUCCUAGGGCUCUGCAAAAAUGUCAGCCAGGUGUUGAAGUUCAGGUUUCAGGUGUCCACUGAGGAUCUUGGAAGGAAUCCCCUGUGGAUAAGGGUGCACCACU
rnacentral:lncRNA from 1 species